rnacentral:tRNA from 2 species
GCCCGGGUGGCGGAAUUGGUAGACGCGCCAGACUUAGGAUCUGGUUUGGAAACAAGUGCAGGUUCGAGUCCUGUCCCGGGCACCA